rnacentral:rRNA from 1 species
GGUUAAGCGACUAAGCGUACACGGUGGAUGCCCUGGCAGUCAGAGGCGAUGAAGGACGUGCUAAUCUGCGAAAAGCGUCGGUAAGGUGAUAUGAACCGUUACAGCCGGCGAUGUCCGAAUGGGGAAACCCAGUGCAAUUCGUUGCACUAUCGUUAACUGAAUACAUAGGUUAACGAGGCGAACCGGGGGAACUGAAACAUCUAAGUACCCCGAGGAAAAGAAAUCAACCGAGAUUCCCCCAGUAGCGGCGAGCGAACGGGGAGCAGCCCAGAGUCUGAAUCAGCUUGUGUGUUAGUGGAACGGUCUGGAAAGUCCGACGGUACAGGGUGAUAGUCCCGUACACCAAAAUGCACAGGCUGUGAACUCGAAGAGUAGGGCGGGACACGUGGUAUCCUGUCUGAAUAUGGGGGGACCAUCCUCCAAGGCUAAAUACUCCUGACUGACCGAUAGUGAACCAGUACCGUGAGGGAAAGGCGAAAAGAACCCCGGCGAGGGGAGUGAAAAAGAACCUGAAACCGUGUACGUACAAGCAGUGGGAGCACCUUCGGGUGUGACUGCGUACCUUUUGUAUAAUGGGUCAGCGACUUAUAUUCUGUAGCAAGGUUAACCGUAUAGGGGAGCCGCAGGGAAACCGAGUCUUAACUGGGCGUUAAGUUGCAGGGUAUAGACCCGAAACCCGGUGAUCUAGCCAUGGGCAGGUUGAAGGUUGGGUAACACUAACUGGAGGACCGAACCGACUAAUGUUGAAAAAUUAGCGGAUGACUUGUGGCUGGGGGUGAAAGGCCAAUCAAACCGGGAGAUAGCUGGUUCUCCCCGAAAGCUAUUUAGGUAGCGCCUCGUGAAUUCAUCUUCGGGGGUAGAGCACUGUUUCGGCUAGGGGGUCAUCCCGACUUACCAACCCGAUGCAAACUACGAAUACCGAAGAAUGUUAUCACGGGAGACACACGGCGGGUGCUAACGUCCGUCGUGAAGAGGGAAACAACCCAGACCGCCAGCUAAGGUCCCAAAGUCAUGGUUAAGUGGGAAACGAUGUGGGAAGGCACAGACAGCCAGGAUGUUGGCUUAGAAGCAGCCAUCAUUUAAAGAAAGCGUAAUAGCUCACUGGUCGAGUCGGCCUGCGCGGAAGAUGUAACGGGGCUAAACCAUGCACCGAAGCUGCGGCAGCGACACUAUGUGUUGUUGGGUAGGGGAGCGUUCUGUAAGCCUGCGAAGGUGACCUGUGAGGGUUGCUGGAGGUAUCAGAAGUGCGAAUGCUGACAUAAGUAACGAUAAAGCGGGUGAAAAGCCCGCUCGCCGGAAGACCAAGGGUUCCUGUCCAACGUUAAUCGGGGCAGGGUGAGUCGACCCCUAAGGCGAGGCCGAAAGGCGUAGUCGAUGGGAAACAGGUUAAUAUUCCUGUACUUGGUGUUACUGCGAAGGGGGGACGGAGAAGGCUAUGUUAGCCGGGCGACGGUUGUCCCGGUUUAAGCAUGUAGGC